rnacentral:rRNA from 1 species
GAUGAACGCUGGCGGCGUGCCUAAUACAUGCAAGUAGAACGCUGAAGGAAGGAGCUUGCUCUUUCCGUAUUAGUUGCGAACGGGUGAGUAACGCGUAGGUAACCUGCCUGUUAGCGGGGGAUAACUAUUGGAAACGAUAGCUAAUACCGCAUAACAGUAUGAGUUGCAUGAUUUCUACGUAAAAGAUGCAAUUGCACCACUACCAGAAGGACUUCCGUUGUAUUUGCUAGUUGGGGAGGUAACCGCCUUACAAGGCGAAGAUACCAAACCGAACGGGGAGGGUGGACCGCCCCCACGGGAAUGGGACAAGGCCCCGACUUCUAACGGGGGGAGCAGUAGGGAAUCUUCGGGCAUGGACGGAAGUCUGACCGGGCCAAGCCGCCUGAGUGAAGAAGGUUUUCGGAUCGUAAAGACUUGUUGUAAGGGAAGAACGAGUGUGGGAGUGGACAGUUCACACUGUGACGGUACCUUACCAGAAAGGGACGGCUAACUACGUG